UCCAAAAUGAAGGAGAAGCAAGAGAGAAAAAGAGAGUAAUUUAAAAAAAAAAAUCAGUUUCAAUUACAUAGCUAGCAAAUGCGGCUAACUAGUUUAGUCUACUGAAACACCCUGCUCAAACAAAGGGAUGUUAUGUUAGCUAGCUGGCUAUGACUAUCCAAUACAACACUGGAUCUCUUACAAGUCAAGUGUCCAAAUUAGCGGAGACCCAGUUCUGAAGGAUAUGGUGGAAUGACAGCUGACCACAGAGAAUUACACCUCAACCUCAGAGAGAGUGAACAUAUAACAGAAAAGCUCUCUCGGACAGUUUCUUACCUGACCACCGCCAUGUACCAGAAAGACGCAGAGCUUCAAUACUGCUAAUCACAAGUCUCCCGCUAUCAGAAGGAAGCUGUCACUCAAGCCAGGGGGGCCAACAUUCUGCAGGCCAGCCUAUCAGAGCGUGAGUUUGAAUUGGAGAGCCAAUCAAAGGAGUUGGCAGCCCUGCGGUUGGAGCAGCGGGAGUUGAGGGAGGGGCUUGCAGCGGUCUGGAGAGAGAAAGAGGGGCUUCUGGAGAGAUGGAUGGAUGAGAAGGAGGCGGUGGCAGAGAGGGUGAACAGGCACAAUGAUGCACAGGAAAGAUGGCGCCGUUUCACCCGUCGAUUCAAUAAGCAUCUCCGUAGAGCGAUGCUGCGACCAGGAGACACACAAACAGACACAGAACACACAGCAGUGGCAGGCAAUCGCUUGCGUACCAACUAAUAUCAAGGUCUGCUUUGACCAGAGGAGGAUGGUGCACACUGCACUGCCCAGGGUGGACCUUGACACAUUUUCCCAAAAGCUUCCUGUACUAAAACAGACCUCGAAUGUGGCUCAAAUCUUUUUUUACAUGUUUAUCUAUUGAAAGAUAUUGAUUUUAAUCAAUGUAGCUAUAGGUACAGCUAAUUAUAAACCAA